rnacentral:rRNA from 1 species
UACGUAGGGUGCAAGCGUUAAUCGGAAUUACUGGGCGUAAAGCGUGCGCAGGCGGUUAUAUAAGACAGAUGUGAAAUAUCCGGGCUUAACCCGGAGGGGUCAUUUGAAACUGUAAGACUAGAGUACAGCAGAGGAUAGCGGAAUUCCCGGUGUAGUGGUGAAAUGCGUAGAUAUCGGGAGGAACACCAGUGGCGAAGGCGGCUAUCUGGGCUGAAACUGACGCUGAGGCGCGAAGGCUAGGGGAGCAAACAGG